rnacentral:rRNA from 1 species
UACGUAGGGACCAAGCGUUGUCCGGAAUCAUUGGGCGUAAAGCGCGCGUAGGUGGCUUCGUAAGUCCGUUGUGAAAGUCAAAGGCUCAACCUUUGAAAGCCGAUGGAUACUGCUGAGCUAGAGUACGGAAGAGGCGAGUGGAAUUCCUGGUGUAGCGGUGGAAUGCGCAGAUAUCAGGAGGAACACCAAUAGCGAAGGCAGCUCGCUGGGACGUUACUGACACUAAGGCGCGAAAGCGUGGGGAGCGAACGAGG